UACGUAGGCAGCAAGCGUUGUUCGGAGUUACUGGGCGUAAAGGGUGUGUAGGCGGUUGUUUAAGUUUGGUGUGAAAUCUCCCGGCUCAACUGGGAGGGUGCGCCGAAUACUGAAUGACUUCGAGUGCGGGAGAGGAAAGUGGAACUCCUGGUGUAGCGGUGAAAUGCGUAGAUAUCUGAAGGAACAUCAGUGGCGAAAGCGACUUCCUGGACCAAUACUGACGCUCAUGUGCGAAAGCGUGGGGAGCAAACAG
rnacentral:rRNA from 1 species